rnacentral:pre_miRNA from 1 species
UUAAGAAUAAAUAUUAAAACUAUACAUGAACUUUGAUCCACUGUGCAAUCUCAUACAUUAACUUUAAAUUUGUGUGAUUUUAUAUAUGAAAUUUUGUUUUGAUUCAAUUUUCAUAAAUCAUAAAUCAUAAACAGCAUUGUCAAAUUAGCAUCAUUUUACAUGCAUGUAUUGCAUACACAAACAAUUAUAUUAUUCAAUAUAAAAACAAAUGUAUGUAUUUUUUUCUUUAAAUAUGUACAAUAGAAUGCAAAUCAAAGUUUUAUGUAUACAUAUAAUUCUCAAUUUAAAUUUCACGUGUAUAAUUGCACCAAAUCAAAGUUCAUGUAUCAAAUUACACAUUAGACCAAAGUUUAUGUAUAAAUUUGAUAUUUAUCCCAAU